CUGUGCUAGUCUCUUUGGAUUCAAAAACAAAUAAGAUAUGGCCUCCAUUCUUGAUGAGCUCGAAAUCAAAUUUAGAAGACAAAUGUAAAAACAUUAUUAUCACGAAGGAUACGCUGACACAGCAAGAAGGCAGCCAUCUGAAAGCCAGGAAGAGAGCCCUUACCAGAAACCAAGCUCUGUUGGACCUUGUCCUUGGACUUUCCAGCCUCCAGAACAAUAUUAGAAACAAGAUGUGAAGAAAUUAAGAGAUGUCCAAGUUCGAAGAAGCCAGCUGUUAGUUCAGGCAAAGUCUUAUCUAGAGUGCAUCGUCAUCGUAUGCUCUGGGUUCUGAAUUAAACCUGAAAUGCAGGU